rnacentral:rRNA from 1 species
CGGAAAGGCCCUUCGGGGUACUCGAGUGGCGAACGGGUGAGUAACACGUGGGUGAUCUGCCCUGCACUUUGGGAUAAGCCUGGGAAACUGGGUCUAAUACCGAAUAUGACCAUGCACUUCCUGGUGUGUGGUGGAAAGCUUUUGCGGUGUGGGAUGGGCCCGCGGCCUAUCAGCUUGUUGGUGGGGUAAUGGCCUACCAAGGCGACGACGGGUAGCCGGCCUGAGAGGGUGACCGGCCACACUGGGACUGAGAUACGGCCCAGACUCCUACGGGAGGCAGCAGUGGGGAAUAUUGCACAAUGGGCGCAAGCCUGAUGCAGCGACGCCGCGUGAGGGAUGACGGCCUUCGGGUUGUAAACCUCUUUCAAUAGGGACGAAGCGCAAGUGACGGUACCUAUAGAAGAAGGACCGGCCAACUACGUGCCAGCAGCCGCGGUAAUACGUAGGGUCCGAGCGUUGUCCGGAAUUACUGGGCGUAAAGAGCUCGUAGGUGGUUUGUCGCGUUGUUCGUGAAAACUCACAGCUUAACUGUGGGCGUGCGGGCGAUACGGGCAGACUAGAGUACUGCAGGGGAGACUGGAAUUCCUGGUGUAGCGGUGGAAUGCGCAGAUAUCAGGAGGAACACCGGUGGCGAAGGCGGGUCUCUGGGCAGUAACUGACGCUGAGGAGCGAAAGCGUGGGGAGCGAACAGGAUUAGAUACCCUGGUAGUCCACGCCGUAAACGGUGGGUACUAGGUGUGGGUUUCCUUCCUUGGGAUCCGUGCCGUAGCUAACGCAUUAAGUACCCCGCCUGGGGAGUACGGCCGCAAGGCUAAAACUCAAAGGAAUUGACGGGGGCCCGCACAAGCGGCGGAGCAUGUGGAUUAAUUCGAUGCAACGCGAAGAACCUUACCUGGGUUUGACAUGCACAGGACGCCGGCAGAGAUGUCGGUUCCCUUGUGGCCUGUGUGCAGGUGGUGCAUGGCUGUCGUCAGCUCGUGUC